rnacentral:rRNA from 1 species
GACGAACGCUGGCGGCGUGCUUAACACAUGCCAGUCGAACGGAAAGGCCCCUUUGGGGGUACUCGAGUGGCGCACGGGUGAGUAACACGUGAGUAACCUGCCCUUGACUUCGGGAUAACUUCAGGAAACUGGGGCUAAUACCGGAUAGGAAUCCUUGCUGCAUGGUGGGGGUUGGAAAGCUUCGGCGGUUUUGGAUGGACUCGCGGCUUAUCAGCUUGUUGGUGGGGUAGUGGCUUACCAAGGCUUUGACGGGUAGCCGGCCUGAGAGGGCGACCGGCCACAUUGGGACUGAGAUACGGCCCAGACUCCUACGGGAGGCAGCAGUGGGGAAUAUUGCACAAUGGGCGGAAGCCUGAUGCAGCAACGCCGCGUGCGGGAUGACGGCCUUCGGGUUGGAAACCGCUUUCAGCAGGGGCGAAGCUUGUGGUGACGGUACCUGCAGAAGAAGCACCGGCUAACUACGUG